UGGGAUGUGGUGUAAUAGGCAACACGAAUGGUUCUGACCCAUUUAUUUCAGGUUCAAGUCCUGACAUCUCAG
rnacentral:tRNA from 1 species